UACGGGGGGAGCAAGCGUUGUUCGGAUUUACUGGGCGUAAAGGGCGCGUAGGCGGCGUGACAAGUCACUUGUGAAAUCUCCGGGCUUAACUCGGAACGGUCAAGUGAUACUGUCGUGCUAGAGUACAGAAGGGGCAACUGGAAUUCUCGGUGUAGCGGUGAAAUGCGUAGAUAUCGAGAGGAACACCUGCGGCGAAGGCGGGUUGCUGGGCUGAUACUGACGCUGAGGCGCGAAAGCUAGGGGAGCGAACGGGG
rnacentral:rRNA from 1 species